UUAGUGUGUAACCUAGAUAGAUUACACGACAACUGGCUAUCAGGCUUUCGUAUUUUCAUGUCUAACAAGUCAACUCCGAAGUCCUAAUUUGCUUGAUUGCGUGGCUGUGUAAUAUGAAUCAACGUAACAACUCUGAGGCUGAGGCAGGCAGGGUUUUGGGAAUAAAAUAGGAGCUGGUGGAGUGGAACUUCGAUGCCUCAGCUUUAUAGGUAAUUCUUGAAUACAAGUGGUUUGGACUUUGGAGAAGAUAGAUACGGUCGGAGGGAAGAAAUGGGGAUCGCAGGCAAAGUAGGGGACUGGGCGUUCAAGGCCUUUACGGCCGGACUGGGCGUCGCCACCAUUUAUCUCACAGCCACUUUCUCUGUUAACGUCUACAGAGGACUUGCUUGGCACAACGCCCAAUCGAAAGUUGACAAGGAGGAAUCUCAAAAUCAAAACCAGUGAGGAGUUCCCAUUAUGGCCAAAAAAUUCAUAUUGAAUUUGUUUUUUCCUUAAAAUUUUACAAUGUAACCUUCCAUAGACCUCUAUUCAUUUUGAUUUUCUUUUUUCCAUACUCCUAUUGGGUGUUGUAAGAGCCAAGGUUUUCAGACAAUGUGUUUCAUUUAGGGAUUUUAAUUUAUACUAUCUUAUAGAGCUCUCCUAGAACAUUGGAUAAAUAUGGCUUUGGUUAUUAUGUUCUCUUUAUUCAGGAAGCAACCUCAUUUGGAUUCUAUCGGAUGAUAUGAUCUCUGGGGUAUGUUUUAUGUAGCUUCUGAAUAAAACAGUAAAUGUAGAAGGAUAUGAACUGUGAUUUACGAAGUGGGCAUCUUAUUGUUGAGGGUAAACAAAAUGUUUUCCCAUUUCUCUUAUCA